rnacentral:rRNA from 1 species
AUUGAACGCUGGCGGCAGGCCUAACACAUGCAAGUCGAGCGGAUGAAGGGAGCUUGCUCCUGGAUUCAGCGGCGGACGGGUGAGUAAUGCCUAUGAAUCUGCCUGGUAGUGGGGGAUAACGUCCGGAAACGGGCGCUAAUACCGCAUACGUCCUGAGGGAGAAAGUGGGGGAUCUUCGGACCUCACGCUAUCAGAUGAGCCUAGGUCGGAUUAGCUAGUUGGUGGGGUAAAGGCCUACCAAGGCGACGAUCCGUAACUGGUAUGAGAGGAUGAUCAGCCACACUGGAAGUGAGACACGGUCCAGACUUCUACGGGAGGCAGCAGUGGGGAAUAUUGGACGAUGGGCGAAAGCCUGAUCCAGCCAUGCCGCGUGUGUGAAGAAGGUCUUCGGAUUGUAAAGCACUUUAAGUUGGGAGGAAGGGCAGUAAGUUAAUACCUUGCUGUUUUGACGUUACCAACAGAAUAAGCACCGGCUAACUUCGUG